AAAGUCCUGGGAUUACAGGCGUGAGCCACCACGCCCAGUCCAGAUAAACACUUACGGUCACUCCGCAGUUACAGAGGGUGACUUGAAGUAGGGAGACAGGCAGUGCCUGGAGGGACAUGGGACAGGCAUGCCAACCCCCACUCACCCAUCGGAAGUCGGCCCGAGGCCCGAGGGUUCCCUUCUCAGGGCAGCCCUUCCCAGCUGCCUUGCCUCUGGCUCUCAGAGCCCCGUGUGCCCCUCCUUUGUGGCUCCUGGCACAACUGCAGUUGAUUAUCCCCGGGUGGCGACUUGCUGGCUGCCUGUUUCUCCCACCAGACCAGAGUUUCUCAGCCUUGGCACAGUUGACAUUUGGGGCUGGAUAACUGGUUGUGAGGGGUCAUCUGUGCAGUCGGAUGUUGAGCGGCAUCCCUGGCCUGGACAUGCCCGAUGCCAGAGGCAUCCCCCAGUCAUGACAACCAGACUGUCUCUAGAAAUUGCCAGGUGUCCCUGGGAGAUGGACUCACCCCUGGUUGAGAACCACUGGCAGGGAUUAUGGCAGGAAAAGUAAAAUGGGUCACUGAUAUCGAGAAGUCAGUGCUGAUCAAUAACUUUGAAAAGAGAGGAUGGGUCCAAGUGACAGAAAACGAGGACUGGAAUUUUUACUGGUAAGCACGCACAGCAGGGUGGGGUUGUUUCUCUGAGACUUACGUAUCGGUUUUACUAAUUCCAGUGCCCUGCAGAGAGUGGCCUCAGAGCUGGUGUCUCCCGUCGUUGUGCUGUCUCCCUGCACACGUUUUUCCUUAAGGCUCUUUGUGAGAGAAUGUGUUGUGGUGUGUUCCCACGUCACUGUGUUCAGCCUGGGGUAUGAAGUCUGGGGUGUUUCACCUCAGCAACCCUGUGGGGAAUUUGGGUGAGAAACAAGAGCCUCAGGCUUCCCCUUCCAGUGAGCAUCCAUUGUAGUUGGGCCAGAGGACAGGACAGAGUCUUGCUCUGUCACCCAGGCUGGAGUGCAAUGGUGCCAUCUCAGCUCACUACAGUCUCCGCUUCCUGGGUUCAAGUGAUUCUCCUGCCUCAGGCUCCCAAGUACCUGGGAUUACAGGCGCUACCACACCUGGCUAAUUUUUUUGUUUUUUUUUUGUUUUUGUUUUUUUUUUUUUGAGACGUAGUCUUGCUCUGUCGCCCGAGCUGGAGUGCAGUGGCCAGAUCUCAGCUCACUGCAAGCUCCGCCUCCCGGGUUUACACCAUUCUCCUGCCUCAGCCUCCCGAGUAGCUGGGACUACAGGCGCCCGCCACCUCGCCCGGCUAGUUUUUUUGUAUUUUUAGUAGAGACGGGGUUUCACCGUGUUAGCCAGGAUGGUCUCGAUCUCCUGCCUCAGCCUCCCGAGUAGCU
rnacentral:lncRNA from 1 species